UGGUUUCAGGCGACCCACUCCUCCUCCCAAGGGGAGCCUGACGGAACAGCGGCACUCCUCCUCCCAGCCGUUGUCCAAUCUUUUGGAAAAGCCUGCCGCACCUCCUCCCGCGGCGGGCUUUUUCA
rnacentral:sRNA from 27 species